rnacentral:lncRNA from 1 species
AUGCAUAUAUGGUUAAUUUACAAAGAAAAACAACUAAAUCGUUAUUGUAAAGUUAAGGUAAUUAUUGCUUCUAACAGGGAAGAGGAAAAAUUUGAUCAGGAAGUUCACAGGAAUAUCAAAUUUUUUCAUAUAGUUUUACUUUAUUUUUUUUUAAUUUUUUUUAAUUUUUUAAUUUUAAAAUCUUUAAUUCUUACAGGCAUUCCCAAACAUGAACCCCCCUCCCACCUCCCUCCCCAUAACCAGGAAGAAAUAGAAAAUCUUAACAGACCCAUCACAAGCAAGGAAGUUGAAACUGUAAUCAGAAAUCUUCCAGCAAACAAAAGCCCAGGUCCAGGCAGCUUCACAGCUGAAUUCUACCAAAAAUUUCGAGAAGAGCUAACAUCUAUCAUACUCAAACUCUUCCAGAAAAUUGAAGAGGAAGGUAAACUUCCAAACUCAUUCUAUGAGGCCACCAUCACCCUAAUAACAAAACCUGACAAAGAUGCCACAAAAAAAGAAAACUACAGUCCAAUAUCACUGAUGAACAUAGAUGCAAAAAUCCUCAACAAAAUUCUAGCAAUCAGAAUCCAACAACACAUUAAAAAGAUCAUACACCACGACCAAGUGGGCUUUAUCCCAGGGAUGCAAGGAUUCUUCAAUAUCUGCAAAUCAAUCAAUGUAAUUCACCACAUUAACAAAUUGAAAAAUAAAAACCAUAUGAUUAUCUCAAUAGACGCAGAGAAGGCCUUUGACAAAAUUCAACAUCCAUUUAUGAUAAAAACGCUCCAGAAAGCAGGAAUAGAAGGAACAUACCUCAACAUAAUAAAAGCUAUCUAUGACAAACCCACAGCAAACAUUAUCCUCAAUGGUGAAAAAUUGAAAGCAUUUCCCCUAAAGUCAGGAACAAGACAAGGAUGUCCACUUUCAGCCCUACUAUUCAACAUAGUUCUGGAAGUUUUGGCCACAGCAAUCAGAGCAGAAAAAGAAAUAAAAGGAAUCCAAAUUGGAAAAGAAGAAGUAAAACUCUCACUGUUUGCAGAUGACAUGAUCCUCUACAUGGAAAACCCUAAAGACUCCACCAGAAAAUUACGAGAGCUAAUCAAUGAAUAUAGUAAAGUUGCAGGAUAUAAAAUCAACACACAGAAAUCCCUUGCAUUCCUAUACACUAAUAAUGAGAAAGUAGAAAAAGAAAUUAAGGAAACAAUUCCAUUCACCAUUGCAACGAAAAGAAUAAAAUACUUAGGAAUAUAUUUACUUCAUAUUGUUUUAUAUCAAGUUGGGUAG